AUACGUAGGGGGCGAGCGUUGUCCGGAAUGAUUGGGCGUAAAGGGCGCGUAGGCGGCCCGGUAAGUCUGGAGUGAAAGUCCUGCUUUUAAGGUGGGAAUUGCUUUGGAUACUGUCGGGCUUGAGUGCAGGAGAGGAAAGUGGAAUUCCCAGUGGAGCGGUGAAAUGCGUAGAGAUUGGGAGGAACACCAGUGGCGAAGGCGACUUACUGGACUGUAACUGACGCUGAGGCGCGAAAGUGUGGGGAGCAAACAGGAUUAGAUACCCUGGUAGUCCACACUGUAAACGAUGAAUGCUAGGUGUAGGGGGUAUCGACCCCUUCUGUGCCGCAGUUAACACAAUAAGCAUUCCGCCUGGGGAGUACGGCCGCAAGGUUGAAACUCAAAGGAAUUGACGGGG
rnacentral:rRNA from 1 species